GUGCUCGCUUUGGCAGCACAUAUACUAAAAUUGGAAUGAUACAGAGAUUAGUAUGGCCCUUGCGCAAGGAUGACACGCAAAUUUGUGAAGCAUCCUAUAAAUUU